AUGAAAUGCUUAUCUUGGAAUUGUCGCGGGCUUGGGAACCCGGAGAUAGUUCGAGAACUUCACGGCCUUGUGAAAAUGGAAGUUCACGCCCUAGUCUUCUUGUGUGAGAUGAAGAUCGAGGGGAAACGUGUGAGUGAUUUGAUGGCCAGGCUUGGUUUUGAAGGCUGUUGUCUAGUGAAUAGUGAAGGGCUCAGCGGAGGUUUAGCUCUGUUUUGGUCCAAAGAAGUUUAUGUAACCCUCAAUAAUUUCUGGAAUCAACAUACUGAUGUAAUGGUUAAGAACAUUGGGGGCGACAAUAAGGUGUGGCGGUUCAUGGGUUUCUAUGCAAAAGCUAGACGUAGUGAACGCGUCGAAAGCUGGAAUCUGUUAAGAUGGCUCAAAGCUCAAAGUGAUGUACCGUGGAUAUGUGGAGUUGAUUUUAAUGAAAUUACAGAUAACUCUGAGUACUUUGGAGCUCAUGAUCGGCCAGAGUGGCAAAUGGAUGGUUUUCGUCAGUGCCCUGAUGACUGUGAACUACAAGACCUGGGUUUCCAAGGUGUUCCUUUUACUUGGGAUAACAUGCAACAAGGUGACUUGAAUGUGAAAGUUCGUCUAGAUAGGUUUCUAGCGAACCCAACAAUGAUUGAAGGAAAUAUGCCCUAG
rnacentral:rRNA from 1 species